CACACCGCCCGUCACACCAUGAAAGUCGGUUUUACCAGAAGUCGCUGCGCUAACUUCGGAGGCAGGCGCCCAAGGUAUGAUCGAUGAUUGGGGUG
rnacentral:rRNA from 1 species